AGUCACUCUGGUGAUCCGACGGCCUCAGCAUCCUAAAUCCUUGCCUCAAAAUAUUGUUUCUUAAACCCUAAACCCCCAUUUUGCGCACUUUCCUCGCCCUUCACUAGUCUUCAUUUCGAUUCUCCAAAAGCUCGAGCAUAAUUUUGACACAAAAUGGCUUGGCGCAGUGGAGGAUCGCUCUCGCGUGCUCUCAUCUCCGCUUCCAGGGCUCCAUCUCGCCUCUCCUCGCCGCCGCUCCCCCGCAUUCGUCCCCCGCCCACUGCCUCCCCUCGGCUCCAGUCCCGCCGCCCGUCCUUUGCUACCUCCAGGAAUAUGGGAGAACUAGGAUGUAUGCAAUCAUUCUUGCCUCUGCAUAGCAUGGUGUCUACCAACCACCUCACAUCACGCCUCAAUGCUAACUUGCGGGCUUUUUGCGAGCUGUCUCAUGGUACCUUCUACCGUACUUGUCAGGAUCGCUAGUGGUCUCUUUGGAGGAAUGGAAAAGACGGGUGAUGCACGUGGACUUUCAGUCAGCUAAAGAUGCAGGAUUUUUGCAACGAUAGUACUUGAAGGGCCGUUGGAUAUGUGCAUGAAAGUGCAAUGACAUACUGAGGGAGUCAACAGAGUGGGUGCACCAUUGGGGUCUUAGGAUUCUUAAGUAGGAAUGCUUUAAUAAAUCUGUCAUGUUUUUGUUAUACUUCAGAGAUUGAUCUUGUAAUUUUCUCACAUUUGGGACGACCAAACGUCAUCUGGGAAAUUUUCUUUGUUUCUGCUUGUUAUCUGUAAGAUUAUGCAGCUGACAACCUGGUCAAAAUUGGGAUUUCUAUAUCUUUUUUCUGUCUUC